GACCUGUCCGUAUUUUUCCUGAACAAAGCAGUUCGCAUGGACGGCAGGGAUGCUCGAAAUUGACUCGGAUCUGUAUGUUGAUGGUUAGCGAAUUACUAAAUGAAUUUAUAACUCUCUCGCGGAAUAAAGUUUUCAUGAAUUCGGUUAA